rnacentral:rRNA from 1 species
UGGAUAGCAGGUCUUGGCCGACUCAGUGACUAGUUACCGGCCGCGUAUUUUGACCGUGCGAAGGUAGCGCAAUCACUUGUCUUUUAAAUGAAGACCUGUAUGAAUGGUGGACACGAGGGCUUAACUGUCUCCCUUUUCAAGUCAAUGAAAUGGAUCUGCCCGUGCAGAAGCGGACAUAUAAAUACAAGACGAGAAGACCCUUUGGAGCUUAAGAUAUAAGAUCAACUAUGUUAAGAAUAACUUAAACCAAUUAAACUAAAUAGUAACUGAUCCCUAUCUUCGGUUGGGGCGACACGGGGAGAAAAUAAGCUCCCACGUGGACUGGGGGUACCCCUAAAACUAAGAAGAAGACAUCUCUAAGUCACAGAACAUCUGACCAAACAGAAUCCGGCUUAUUAAGCCGAUCAACGGGACAGUUAACCCUUAGGGAAUAACACAGGCGCAAUUCCUUCUUCCAGAGUCCAAUAUCCGACAGAGGGUUUUACGACCUCCAAUGUUGGGAUCAGGACAUCCUAAUGGUGCAGCCGGUUUAAGGGGUUACGUAUGGUUCACG